rnacentral:rRNA from 1 species
UACGUAGGGGGCAAGCGUUGUCCGGAAUCAUUGGGCGUAAAGAGCGCGUAGGCGGUCCGAUAAGUCGGUUGUGAAAACUGGGGGCUCAACCCUCAGAGGCCGACCGAUACUGUCGGGCUAGAGUCCGGAAGAGGAGAGUGGAAUUCCUGGUGUAGCGGUGAAAUGCGCAGAUAUCAGGAAGAACACCCGUGGCGAAGGCGGCUCUCUGGGACGGUACUGACGCUGAGACGCGAAAGCGUGGGGAGCGAACAGG